rnacentral:lncRNA from 1 species
GUCAACCACUGCAGAUGUCCUAGUGAUAUAGGCCAACAAAACCCUUCAACCAGACAACAAACCUCAAGACUACUGGUUUGUCCCUGCGAGCUAUUUGCUCAGCUUUCCUAAUAAUACCCUGCCUGUCUGGCGCCCCGCCAGCUCUGUCUCAGGCAAUAUGCAAGCUAAACAUUUUUUGACUGAUUUCAAUAUUUUCUUAUGAGCAACUAGACAGUAUUUUAUCUAGUGAGUAUUACUGAUUGCUAUAAUCUAAGCCCAGAGUAAGCGUCUGUAAAGGUAUAAGUGGGUGCAGUAGCUCACGCCUGUAAUCCCAGCACUUUGGGAGGCUGAAGUGGGUGGAUCUCUUGAGCCCUGGAGUUAGAGACCAGCCUGGGCAACAUAGCAAAACCCCUGCCUCAACAAAAGAAAAAAA